rnacentral:rRNA from 1 species
GAUGAACGCUGGCGGCGUGCUUAACACAUGCAAGUCGAACGAAGCACUUUAUUUGAUUUCCUUCGGGACUGAUUAUUUUGUGACUGAGUGGCGGACGGGUGAGUAACGCGUGGGUAACCUGCCUUGUACAGGGGGAUAACAGUUGGAAACGGCUGCUAAUACCGCAUAAGCGCACGGCAUCGCAUGAUGCAGUGUGAAAAACUCCGGUGGUAUAAGAUGGACCCGCGUUGGAUUAGCUAGUUGGUGAGGUAACGGCCCACCAAGGCGACGAUCCAUAGCCGACCUGAGAGGGUGACCGGCCACAUUGGGACUGAGGCACGGCCCAAACUCCUGCGGGAGGCAGCAGUGGGGAAUAUUGCACAAUGGGCGAAAGCCUAAUGCAGCGACGCCGCGUGAGCGAAGAAGUAUUUCGGUAUGUAAAGCUCUAUCAGCAGGGAAGAUAAUGACGGUACCUGACUAAGAAGCACCGGCUAAAUACGUG